UUAUGAAGCUAUUGGAUAAUGCUUUUAGAUAUGCAGACCAAAUGGGUUGAUUUGGCCCCUUUCGUCAGUAAUGGCGAUCGAAAACCUCUUUAAUUCAUGGGAACUCCUACAGGGACAAUCAUGAGCGAAGCCCAUUUGGGAACGUGCAACGACUAGCCGAAAGGCGUACACUGCAAGCGAUCGGUAGUGGAAACGGGAGGCAUCCUACAGGGAUGAAGAUAUAGUCUAACCUUCAUGGCAACAUGAAG
rnacentral:ncRNA from 1 species